UCAGCCCUGAUCUUUGCUUUCUCCGCUUCCCACUCUGCAGCGAGGACUCUGGCUCUCUCAUCUCUCUGAUCCCUCACUAGGAUUUUCCUUCUCUUCUCGUCUUCCAUGACUUUCAAUGCUCUGAACAGCUUAUCCUUAGUGAUGUCGUGCUCCCGGUUGGACGAUGCUAAAGCUUGGCUGAUCUUCCCAUAGUAGGCUGUAUCCAUCUCAAAGCGUUUGGCUUCUAAGGCAUGCCGUUUGUCUUGAUCUUCCAUCCUCACUUUGAUCUCCUGAUUAGC
rnacentral:lncRNA from 1 species